UCGUGGCUAGAAACGGUUCGUCUCGCGAGGGGAGGAAUCCUCUCCCUCUCCCGAGCAAACCCCAAUCGUGUUCUUGCUGGCCGUUCUCCUUUCUUCUCGACUUCCCCCAGAUCUCUCUCUCUCUUUUCUAACUUAUUACAGGCUUCUCCCUCCUUUCUCUGUGCGCGGAGCGGAAGGGCGACCUGCGUAGGCGACUGGCGACAGGGAACGACGACCUGCGUUGGCGGCGGGCGGCAGGGAAUGGCGACAUGUGUAGGCGGUUGGGCGCCAGAUGUGCAGCCCAUAGGUGUGGCGCCGGCCGGAGUUGAUGGUGGCGGACGCGUUCUAGCAGCUUUAGAUCCGUCCUCGACUCAAUCCUGCUGUUCUUUCGCCUUCUCAUGAUCACAAGGGCACCGCUGCACCGGUGGACAAGAAGACAGCCUAUAUAUCACGCUCAUCUUGCCUCUGAUUUGCUACUAUCAUACCACAUCGCCGUCUUGAAUAUGAGUUCCUGGUGAUCAUAUGAACAAUGGAAAGGAGAGGCAUGACCAACGACAUCAUAAAUUGCAGUAUUGGGCCACAUGCAUGGUGGCCUGGAUGUACUACAAAAAAGAAAUAUCAAGCCCAUAUACCCUGCUCCAUCGGGGGCUGUAUGAACUAUGGCGUCAACAGAAUGGCGGUGGUUGUUACUGAAACCCUCAACAUGCAGCAUCUACUAUUUCUUGACUUCAAUUUGAUAUCAAGCUCAUAUACCUUGCUCCAUCGCGGCUAUCUCAAGUAUGGUGUCAACAGAAUGGCGGUGGCCGUUACUGAAACCCUCGACAUGCAGCAUCGACUAUUCCACGACUUCGGUUUGGUUCAGGAAGAAUCAUACUGUUGGAAAUAGAAAAUUCCAUUAGGCUUGGAUGUACUGCUAAAAUGAACUAUCUCAAUUACGGUGUCAACAGUUUGGUGGUGGCUGGUACUGAAAUCCUCGACAUGUAGCAUCGACUAUUCCUCCACUUCGAUUUGGAAGCACAAAUAAUGUAUCUGGACCUCAUCCCAUGUUGUCGAUUCGUGUCGUUGGAGGAGAGUGUGGAAAAAAGCAGAAGAAUGGAAGCAGCCAUGCACUCCAUGCCGGCGGGAGAGCCUAACCUUUCCCUAGGUUAGCCGCCUCCUGUGAACAACCCGGAAAAAAGAUUAGUGCUUCAUAUAUCCAGAAAAAAAAAUUAGUGCUUCAUAUAUUCACUUGACAUAUUUCAGACAACAUAUAUAUUUGCUUCCUUCAAGUCAUCAAAAUACACAGCUUUGUAGUUUCA